ACGCUCGACACCUACGGGAGGCGGCAGUAGGGAAGUCUUCCACAAUGGACGCAAGUCUGAUGGAGCAACGCCGCGUGAGUGAAGAAGGUCUUCGGAUCGUAAAACUCUGUUGUUAGAGAAGAACACGAGUGAGAGUAACUGUUCAUUCGAUGACGGUAUCUAACCAGCAAGUCACGGCUAACUACGUGCCAACAGCCGCGGUAAUCUGAGCGGGCUGGCAAGGC
rnacentral:rRNA from 1 species